CACUCACAUAUCUACACAAGUAAACAAAUAAACUACACGUUGAUCUUUUAAUUAACCAAGUAACAUAUCCGUAAUUUCGAUAAAAUAAUCACUGGCUCGGUGGUAUUGCGGUAUUGAAUCAGACUCGUAAUCGCAAGAUCAAUGGUUCAAUCCCCGCUAUAGUGAUCUUGUGCAGUUUUUUUAAAGUUUGAUUAUAAUGUUUUAAUAGGAACAGAAAUUAUAAACGUUUCUAAAGAAUGUUUAAAAGUGAAGGGUAAGACUGAUUUAACAUUUUCUUAAACGGUAAAAAGUUACGUAACUGAAGAAAUUACACAGCGAUUGAUUUUAACUCGUGACUUUGCGUUGUUACUAGUUCGCUAGCGAGAGUGAUUGUGCUGUGACAAAGUUGAUUAAAUACUACGUUCCCUAACUAUGCAAGCUAAUAUUAGUAUGCAGGAAAGGACGCGCAUUAUCGAAAAUCUAGAUACAUAUAAUAUGAGAUAUACUAUAUCUACAAUUGCUAAUGAGACAAGAUUUACCUACUUAGAUAACGGUAAAGGGGCGGAAAACUCGUUUUCCAGAAGGUAUUGUUGUAACCACUAAGUCACGUAUAGUGGUCGUCUGCGGCAUUAGUGCAUCAGCGAAGCUUCAUGGUUGAAGAUUUUGACAGGAGUACUAUGUUUAAUGAUGAGAAGUCGUUUUUGUCAUCUCAACAUGGAAGACUUCACUUAUGGCGCAGGGUUGCAACUCGUUAGUGACCAAAAUGUUAUGGCAAAUAUGGAAUCUGAACGAACU